UUAAGCGUGAGGUCGGUGGUUCAAGUCCACUUAGGCCCAUCGGAUGGGGCCUUAGCUCAGCUGGGAGAGCGCCUGCUUUGCAAGCAGGAGGUCAUCGGUUCGAUCCCGAUAGGCUCCACCAUAUCGAAUCAACCGAAUGAAGUCCGCGUUGAGGAACAGGAAUUGUUUUCUUAACAUAGGGAUCGUUCCUUGAAAACUAGAUAACCGGAAAAGCGGAGGCGCCGAGAUCAGCUCUCGAAGCCAAAUGUUCUUCACCCGCUGGGGUGCUUGCACCCCGAGGGGUGAAGGUGAUUUGGCGGAGGAGAGCCAGGCGCCGAAGCUGGACAGAAGGAAGAAGCCGAGAGCGCAA
rnacentral:tRNA from 1 species